rnacentral:rRNA from 1 species
CACGUAGGGGGCGAGCGUUAUCCGGAAUUACUGGGUGUAAAGGGAGCGUAGACGGCGAAGUAAGCCUGAAGUGGAAGCCCGCGGCCCAACCGCGGAACUGCUUUGGGAACUGCUUAGCUGGAGUAUGGGAGGGGUAAGCGGAAUUCCUGGUGUAGCGGUGAAAUGCGUAGAUAUCAGGAGGAACACCGGUGGCGAAGGCGGCUUACUGGACCAUGACUGACGUUGAGGCUCGAAAGCGUGGGGAGCGAACAGG